rnacentral:rRNA from 1 species
GACGUAGGUGGCGAGCGUUAUUCGGAUUUAUUGGGCGUAAAGGGUUCGUAGGGGGUUGAUUAAGUUCAGUGUGAAAGCCUGUGGCUCAACUACAGAAGGUCACUGGAUACUGGUCGACUAGAGGAUCGGAGAGGAGAGUGGAAUUCCUGGUGUAGCGGUGGAAUGCGUAGAUAUCAGGAGGAACACCGAUGGCGAAGGCAGCUCUCUGGACGAUACCUGACCCUGAGGAACGAAAGCCGGGGGAGCAAACAGG